rnacentral:lncRNA from 1 species
CAUGUUUCUUCAUGGUGGGACUCUUAUUUUGAAAACCGGACACAGCUCGUCGAAGAAUGCUUGGAAAAGGUGGAUGUCUGUUUGUUCAGCGGCAUCCUGAGGAUGCAUAAGAAUCAGCUCCACCAAUUUGAGGAUUGCAAGAACUGAAGUAUGCAAGCUAUAUGUAGAAAUCACAUCAUUUUACUGUACCUCUACCCAGACCAUCAGUACACCCAGGUGGAAGUUGUUGGAUUUAUACGAUUCCCUCGCUGCGUUUACUCCUCCACACCACCAGAGCAGUCAUGAGCAGCGUCACCAGAAUGGGCACCACGAUAAAAGGCCCCAGGAUCCGAUUGGGCGGGUCGUGAAGCAGCCGUCCAGACAGUGAGCAGUCAUGGAAGUAAUGCCUGUGCACCCGGAUGAAGAACUCGUCCACCAUGCGGUUGGGCCAGAAACAGUUCAUCUUUAGAGCCACCAGGAACGUGCAGUUGGUCAGUUCCCCAUACGACCUUUAGGAGGACAAAUUAUAGAAUAAUGUCAAGAGCACAUCUAAAUGAGCAAUGAUAAAGAUGCAUUUAAUGUCAUUCAAAUAUCAAAGUAAAAUAGAUAUCAAAGUACUUUUACUUUUUACUACUCUCAGAAAAAUAAAUUACGAUAAAGCUUAUUGAAGUUGAAGAUUAUUGAAUAACGACAAAGUUUACUGCUUGUACCCUUUUAAAUUUAGUUAAUAUCUCUUUCAUUUUAAUGUACAGUAUGUUGUCAGAUUCAAAUCAAAUACUAUUAGAUUAAAUCAAUUAAUGGAUAUGGUAUAAAUAUAUCUGGCUGUAAAAAAAAAACCUGGAUCCAAUUAGUUAAAUUCUAUGAGAUUGGUUUUCUUAAUAUUCAGGGGCAAAAUUGGCACAACUUCAUACUCCACACAAUAGAUGAAUUAAAAAGAAGCAUUUAAAACACAUUGAAUUCAUUGAUAUUAUUACAAAAGUCUCAUUCUUAUUUGUUAAAUUUAGGUUUACUUACUCCCAGGGCUGUUUAUACAGUUGAUAACGGAAUUAUUAGCC